rnacentral:rRNA from 1 species
CCUACGGGAGGCAGCAGUGAGGAAUAUUGGUCAAUGGACGAGAGUCUGAACCAGCCAAGUAGCGUGAAGGAUGACUGCCCUAUGGGUUGUAAACUUCUUUUAUAUGGGAAUAAAAUGUUCCACGUGUGGGAUUUUGUAUGUACCAUAUGAAUAAGGAUCGGCUAACUCCGUGCCAGCAGCCGCGGUAAUACGGAGGAUCCGAGCGUUAUCCGGAUUUAUUGGGUUUAAAGGGAGCGUAGGUGGAUUGUUAAGUCAGUUGUGAAAGUUUGCGGCUCAACCGUAAAAUUGCAGUUGAAACUGGCAGUGGUGAGUACAGUAGAGGUGGGCGGAAUUCGUGGUGUAGCGGUGAGAUGCUUAGAUAUCGCGAAGAAGUGCGAGUGCGAAGGCAGCUCACUGGACUGCAACUGACACUGAGGCUCGAAAGUGUGGGUAUCAAACAGGAUUAGAUACCCUGGUAGUC